rnacentral:rRNA from 1 species
UUGACCUCGAAUCAGGUAGGAC